GACCAAGGUGGGCGACUGCUUGGGCUCAGGAGUUUGAGACCAGCCUGGGCAACAUAGAGAGACCCUGUCUCUACAAAAAAAAAAAAAAAAAAAAAAUACAAAGGUUAGCCAGGCGUGGUGGCACAUGCCUGUAGUCCCAGCUACUGGGGAGGCUGAGACGGGAGGAUCGCUUGAGCCCAGCAAGCAGAGGUUACAGUAAGUUGAGAUCAUGUCACUGCACUCCAGCCUGGGUGACAGAGGAAGACUGUCUCAAAAAAAAUUUUUUUUAAUUAAAAAAAAUAGAUAAAUCUUGAAAAUCAUGUUAUACAAAACAAAUUUAGCUUCAGAAGGGCUAAGAGCAGAGUGGGGAAGCCUCAGAAGUGACACAAGCCUAGUGUUGGCUCUCUGAUGUCCCUGGCACUUGGCCUCAGGAAAGGGCCCUGUGUGCCUGUCAGUGGCAGUGGGAGAAGCAGAUCAGAGUGAGGGUGAAGAAAUGAAUGGACAGGACAGGUUUUGUUUGCAAGAUCAGGCCAGGCAAUAGCCUCAGAGGGCACAGAGGCUCAAGCUUUUAUGCCAGCUGAGUAGCAAAACUGAACAACUCUUCACCAGCACUCAGAGGGCAUAGGUGUUGGCAAUGGCAGGUGAGGGGCUUGCCUUCGGAGUUGGGGUAUCUGUCUCUUAAGCAGGCAGCAGGCCACUGGGAAGAAAAAAACAGAGGCUCUUGGGCAGCCAGUCAAGGUCUGUUUUUCUGUACAUGAUAUGCCCAGGGCAAGGAGAGGGGGUGGCUGCAAGGUGCACACGCCCUGAGUCGUGCAAAGCACCAGAUCAACAGGGAAUUGCGAUUUGCCUCUGUUCCUUCACACACAUAGCAUCACUCAUGAAGCACCUUGAAAGACAGAUCCCUUCACACUGUGGGAUGAUCCAGGGUGACGAUGACACAGAACAUGAAAUGAAUAAGGAAGUUCAGGCUCCCAUGGACACUAAUGAGGCAGAGGGCGCACCUUUGUGAACAAAUUGGAGAGCUGAGCACUUUGUGUCCAGUUGGACUCUAGGCCACCUGAAGAUUCCACUCACUCCAGGGGAAAAUCAGACAAGGUGAGCUGCCUGCAACCAGCAGCACUUACCUAGGCUUGAAGGAUUAAAACCUAGCCCACAGGAACACGAUGUCUGCUGUUGCCAUCACCCCCAUAUCUCUCUCAGGAACACCCAAGUUUACCAGGCCAUUAAGCACUAGAUUUAGCCAUGAAGGGGUUCUAGAAAACUGAUUUAUGGGCAAGUCCUUUCAGAACACAGGUGCCCGGAAAUCCCUGAAAGGAAGGAUUACUCUAGAGUAUGGAUGUCCAACCUUUUGGCUUCCCUGAGCCACAUUGGAAGAAGAAGAAUUGUCUUGGGCCACACAUAAGAUACACUUACACUAAUGAUAGUUGAUGAACUACUGAAAAAAAAGAGUCUGUGCAUACUUUUCAUGAUAUCUGCCACCACAGAGAAGCAAAAAAGUCCUUAAAUCCAAAGGGUUGGACACUGGUGCUCUAGAGUGAGAUGGUGAUGGUGUCUUAAACUUACUUCCAACAUGAUUUUGGGGAAUGAUGGUGAAAAAUUACAGCUUCUCAUAGAUGUCCUAGUUUACUUUUGUGAUAAGUCCCACAAAACUCAACUCAACUCAAGACUUAUUCUUUGUCUUGAGUCUACAAUUUACAAAAAGAGCACCUCCAUCCUCAAAGGGCCCAUGCACAU
rnacentral:lncRNA from 10 species